UUUUUUUUUUUUUUAAUUUUUUUUUUCCAAAAAAAAAUUGUUUUGAUUCUUCUGGUCAGUUGUGCUUAUUGAGUUGUGGCUCAUUGCUCGUGCUCAGGGCUGAGGAGGGCGUCAAAAGGAUGGCAGGAGGAACUUGGUUGCCAUGGUGCGGAGAUGUUCAGCCAGUGCCGAGCAGGACAAGAGGCAGCAGGACAGGUGACCAAGGGAGAGAAGACAUUUUGAAGCCAGGAAGACAUGAAUUGUACACAUUUUUUGCAACAGGAGAAACAAGACACUAGUUUUCUAAAAGAACUGAAGUAUCAUUCAAAAAUCCAGCAAGGAGGAAGAGGAGGAGCAAUUAUCUGUUGUCCUGAAGCAGCUCCAAGCCUUUGGUCCAUGUCCCCCAACACGGAAGCUCAGAAAGCUGCUGAGUUCAGCAGAACCUCUGCAUAAUUGGGCCAAUUUGUGGAGCACCUCAUCUUCUCUCCAGAAAUUAUUGCCCCUGGGGCAAGAAGAGCAGCAACUAUCCUCUACAUCAAGAAGCUCUUCUUUAUUGACCUAUUUUGGUUUACAGCCCAGAAUAUUAAAUUUGGGGGUUAUUUUAGUAUAUAUCCAGGCCAUAAAUGCUGAAGGUCUGUACGUGUUCCAGUGUUCUGCUGUUGGAAGCAAGGUGUUGGGGGAGAAGGGGCAUUAACCUUUCCAGCCAUGCCAGCCUUGUUCCUGAGCCAGUGUCUCUGCUCCAGAGGAAGCAAAUAGGAAGUACAGAAAUAAAGCUUUCCACUCAAUUUGCCUGUUGUAAAAAUAAACACACCUGAAUAUCAGAGCUAGUGUAGGAACAAUUUCUUUAAGCUUUGAGGAAACCAAUUUGGGGAAGGGGACUAUAGGAUUUUUAUUUGUUUGUUGGUUUGUUAUUUUUGAAAUUAAGAGUCUGAAAAAAUAGUUUCCAAGCAUCUCUAGGACCAGUGGCAUCUGCUGGCUGGUGCUGCCUGGGAAAGGUCUAUCAAUGGGAGCUCCCUGCGGUGACAGGGAUCAGUGGGCACAAA